CUACGGGACGCUCCAGUGAGGAAUCUUAGACAAUGGGCGCAAGCCUGAUCUAGCCAUGCCGCGUGAGUGAUGAAGGCCUUAGGGUCGUAAAGCUCUUUCGCCAGGGAUGAUAAUGACAGUACCUGGUAAAGAAACCCCGGCUAACUCCGUGCCAGCAGCCGCGGUAAUACGGAGGGGGUUAGCGUUGUUCGGAAUUACUGGGCGUAAAGCGCACGUAGGCGGAUCAGAAAGUUGGGGGUGAAAUCCCGGGGCUCAACCCCGGAACUGCCUCCAAAACUCCUGGUCUUGAGUUCGAGAGAGGUGAGUGGAAUUACGAGUGUAGAGGUGAAAUUCGUAGAUAUUCGGAGGAACACCAGUGGCGAAGGCGGCUCACUGGCUCGAUACUGACGCUGAGGUGCGAAAGUGUGGGGAGCAAACAGGAUUAGAUACCCCCGUAGUC
rnacentral:rRNA from 1 species